UUGACCUCGAAUCAGGUAGGAAUACCCGCUGAACUUAAGCAUAUCAAUAAGCGGAGGAAAAGAAACCAACAGGGAUUGCCCCAGUAACGGCGAGUGAAGCGGCAACAGCUCAAAUUUGAAAUCUGGCCCCCCGGGGCCCGAGUUGUUAUUUGCAUAGGAUGCUUUUGGCGAGGCGCCUUCCGAGUUCCCUGGAACGGGACGCCACAGAGGGUGAGAGCCCCGUCUGGUCAGACGCCUAACCUAUGUAAAGCUCCCUCGACGAGUCGAGUAGUUUGGGAAUGCUGCUCUAAAUGGGAGGUAUAUGUCUUCUAAAGCUAAAUACCGGCCAGAGACCGAUAGCGCACAAGUAGAGUGAUCGAAAGAUGAAAAGCACUUUGAAAAGAGGGUUAAACAGUACGUGAAAUUGUUGAAAGGGAAGCGCUUGUGACCAGACUUGGGCCCGGCGGAUCACCCAGCGUUCUCGCUGGUGCACUCCGGCGGGCCCAGGCCAGCAUCAGCUCGUCCCGGGGGACAAAGGCGGCGGGAAUGUGGCUCCUCCGGGAAUGUUAUAGCCCGCCGCGCAAUGCCCUGGGGCGGGCUGAGGACCGCGCAUCUGCAUGGAUGCUGGCGUAAUGGUCACCAGCGACCCGUCUUGAAACACGGACCAA
rnacentral:rRNA from 1 species